AGCCGAGAUAGCUCAGUCGGUA
rnacentral:tRNA from 1 species